rnacentral:antisense_RNA from 1 species
GAUAGCCAAAAAUGCGCCCAGGGUUAAGAGUCGGUUCAGUAAUCACUCGUACAGAUGCUACGACUGGAUCAUAAAGGCCGCCCCAAAACAAAGCUUUCCCUACCAAUAACCAAGCGCCCAAUCCCAAUAACAGCAGAUGAAUGCCGAUGAUGGUGGUCAUUUUGUCUUCAUCUUGCCA